UUGACUUAUAUAAGCUUAAUAUACUUGAAGCUAUUUUAUUGAGCAAUUAUGUACCUGAUACAUUAUUAAUUUUAUUAAAUAUUCAGAGCAGUACCACAAGGCAGGUGGAGGUCUGUUAUAUCCAUUUCACAGGUAAGAAAGCUGAGGCUAAAAGAAGUCAAAUGAUUUUCUAAGGCCAUUGAGGUAGCGACAUAGUGUAAAUUUGAACACAAAUUCUCAAGAUCUUAGAGCCUUUAACUAACAUUCUCUGCAGGAUAAGACCCAUGAUGUUGAUUUCAUUUUAAAAAUAUUCAUGCAACCUGGUUAAAUGGCUGAUCUUACAGUCUGUAGUUAAUAAUUAGAAUACUGUCUCCCGAUCAUUGUGCUCUUCUACUAAAAUUCUGCCUUAUGAAUAUUUUCCUCACUUCUGGUUGCUAAACUUAGUCUGAAAAUAUUUAAACAGAAAUAACAAUGAUGUAUUAUGGUGAAAUGGAAGUUCUUAUUUAAGGAAAAACUGAACAUUGUUAGAGGAUAUUCAGAAAUGCGGGGCUUCUUAAUCCAAAUUUGAAUCUUCCUUCCUUACCUUCUCCACAUCUCCUAGACCCUCGGUGUCAAGCAGAACUAGGGUGUGGUUUGUUUUCUUGGGAUGAGGUACACACCACAUCCAGAUUCCCUUGGUGUGAGAUUGCACUGUGGAGCCCAGAGAGAAACCUGCAAAGAGGAAGAGGGAUAUAAGAAAGGGACAUUUGUACUUUUAUAAAGCAAAGUGGAAAGAGAAUGAGCCGACCCUUAUCGUCCAGAUGAAAGUGAAGAUAAAAAUCCCAACUGUGAAGUGAAGAUUAGCUUUAAAUAUUUUUCUCUAUCUCCAGACUUUCUCUCCUUACAUCACUGUAUACAGUGUUGUACAGUGUGGAUGGACAGGAGGGACUCAUUUGAGCUUUCUGGUGCCACUUACCCUUUUUCUUCCCGGCCAGCUUGUUCAUCAGUAAAAAAUACUUUGCUGAGACUUCUGCUUCUGGCCAUAUUAGAGUAACAGACACUGGAUUAUUCACUUCACAUGAAACAACCAAAAGAUGGAUAAAUAUAUUAAACAGUGAUUUUCGAGACACUAGACAUCAGAUCCAAGAAGCUCAGCAAACUCCAACCAAGUAAAGAAAAUGUCCCUAAAGCACAUCAUAAUCAAGUUUCUCAAACUCAGUGAUAAAGGGAAAAAUCUCAAAAGAAUCCAGAGUAAGAAGACAGGUUAAGUACAGAGGAACAAAUACAUGGACAAUAGCAGAUUUCUCAAGGAUACAGUGGAAGCAAGAAGAGGGUGGAGCAACAUCUCUAAAAUACUGAAGAAAAAAAAAAAUCAACCUAGAAUUCUAUACUUAGAGAAAACAUGUUUCAGAAGCAGAGGAGAGAUCCCACCC